CUUAGUUAAUGACUGAAAGCCAAAUGACAAUAACAAAAGUCUCCCGGGCUGGGGAGACUUUUUAGUCAGUU
rnacentral:sRNA from 1 species